GAUGAACGCUGGCGGCGUGCCUAACACAUGCAAGUCGAGCGAACGGAUGAGAAGUUUGCUUGUAUGAUGUUGUCGCCGGACGGGUCCUUCACACGGGGUUAACCUAACUAUCAGACUGGGAUACCUACAGGAGACCGGAUCUACUACCCGAUAAUAUUUCGCACUGGAUGGUUCAUACGUGAAAGACGGUCUUUCUGACACUAAUAGCUUGAUCCGGGUUGCAUUAGUUAGUUGGUAAGGUAGCGGCUUACCAAGGCUAGGAUGCAUAGCCGACCUGAGAGGGUGAUCGGCCAGAUGGGAACUGAGACACGGCCCAGACUCCUACGGGAGGAAGCAGUCGGGAAUCUUACGCAAGGGGGGAAAGCGUGACAGAGCAACGCCGCGUGAGGGAUGAUGGACUUCGGAUGGGAAAGUUCUGUAAGUAGGGAGGUAGAUAAGUGUAAGUAACUGUGCUGAUCAUGACGGUACCGAAAGAAUAAGCUACGGCUAACUACGUG
rnacentral:rRNA from 1 species